CAGAAAUGAUACUGAAGCCCUGGAACGUCUCCAGAGAAGGACAAUGAAGUUGGUGAGAGGUUUGGAGCGCAAGUCUUAUGAGGAGAGAUGAGGGAACUGGGAUUCUUGAGUCUGUAGAAGAGCAGGCCCAGGGGAGACUUUAUUGCUGUCUACAACUGCCUGGAAGGAGGCUGUGGUGAAGUGGAGGCCAGCCUCUCCUCCCAUGUAACUAGCGAUAGGACUUGAGGGAAUGGCCUCAAGUUGCUCCGGGGAAGGGUCAGGUUUACUCCAAAAGAGUGUUCAGGUGCUGAAACAGGCUGCCUGGGGAGGUGAUGGAGUCUCUGACCCUGGAGGUGUUCAAGAAAGAUGUAGAUGUGGUACUAAGGGACUUGGUUUAGUGAGAAAAUAUUGGUGGAAGGUGAACAGUUAGACUGGAUGAUCUUGGAGGUGUUUUCCCAUCUUAGUGAUUCUAUGAUUCUAUGAUUAUAUUUGUUGGUUUUUUUUUUUCAGUGUUCCUGGCAUUCACUCUUAUUUUAAGGCUUUGUUUUUUCCUUAUUUUUAUUUUCCACAAUCUCUUUUGUCUGUCAUUUUCUAUGCCCAUGCUUUAAGAAAGCCCUUUACUUUUGUUUAUCUUUUAGAUUAUUUCCAGCCUGUCUUUCUUAUUUUUUUCUUCCUCCCUUCUAUACAACAAAUCAAAGGCAAAAUAGUAAUGGUUCGAUUAGACUUUUAAAUAGGAUAUUAAAAUGAGUUUUGUAGUUAAGUACAAUUGUCUCUUAGAAUUUGGCAGGGAAACCAUUAACCAAAUGAUGUUAAAUUUGCACAGAUUGUUGAAUAAAUGAGUAAGACUUGCUUUAUGUGGCAGCAAACCAACCAAAAAACAUACACACAAAGAAUUGCUGGCAGUCCACGUGAACGAAUAACUUGCAUUAGGAUUAGACAUUUUUUUAAAGAUCAGCAAUUGAACAAUUACUAUUCUCAUUAGCUAUUCCUCCAUAUGAAGAAGCUCUCUUAUAGACUGUGCAGUUGUAGAGAAGGGAGGGUACAGGCACAUGUACUUUGUAUAAUUUAAGGUUUCUUGCUUGUUUACUAAACGGGUGUGGUUAAAUCUAUAGUUAUUAAUCAGAGUUUAUGGAUACAUGUUCAAGAUGCAUGUAAAAACCAGGUAAUUUUGCAUACUCGUUUGUCUUCUUAUUUUGGUAGAGGUGUUUCCUCUCUCCACUGUCAUAUCCAGAGAAAUCCAGGUAUCUGGAUGCAC
rnacentral:lncRNA from 1 species